rnacentral:lncRNA from 1 species
AUGCAGGCAGGGGGCAGGUGUCAUCAGCAUGUGGCAUUGCGGGGACGGAAGAGUUACGUGAAGGAGCGUACCACCCAGUCCGAGACCACGUGUCCUGCGGGUACUGAAAGCGCAGCAGUAAAAAAAAGAAAACAAAACGAUAAAUCAGAUACCAGUGCAUCUAAAAACAAUUCUUCAGCGGAAGGGACAGUGCCAAAGAGGUGGUGGAUCAAGCCUGCAGAAAUGUGUCCAGCACUGUCUAGGGUCAAGCUGCAGAACUGAGGGUCCCGUGGAAGGUCUGGCCCCUCCAGCUCACUGGAACAAAGAUUGGUCCCUUGGCCAGCACAGUACCCUGGUUCCAGCCCCUCUGCAGCGCCCUUCACACUGCCAACGUGGUGCGCGGGCCUCGGAGAAAAUCCCUGUGCGCAUGGGGCUUACCAUCUGCUCAGGGUCAGUUUGUGGUUAAGAGCCCGGUUUCUAUGAACAGACUAAGAAUGCAAAUCCCAAUUUCCCCUUUCUAUCUGGUGACCUUGGGAUAAUGAUUUAAGCUCUCUGCCUCAUUUACGAGAUAGGAAUGCUGUUUAGUGGUACCUAACUCCUAGCUACGGUCAUUGUGAAGAUUCGAUAUGAUUUUGCAUGUAAGAUCCAAGUACAGUGUCUGGCACAAAGGACACACGCAUGAAGUGUGUUUGCAAUUAUGGUGACCAGUAUUUUUACUGGAAAACAUGGUCUGAGAAUUCAGAACUAAAACCCAAACCGACCUUUUCUUUUUUUUUUUUUUUUUUUUUGAGAGCACAUGCAUGCAUGCUCAUAGUGGGGGAGGGACAGAGGGAGAGACCGUGUUAAGCAGGUUCCACACUCAGCAUGACCCUGAAAUCAUGACCUGAGCCAAAAUUAAGAGUCGGCCAUUUAACAGACUGAGCCACGCAGGCACCCGUAACUCUGACCCUUUUAAGUCACCUGGUUGGAGCUGUCCUCUGUGGCCUUGGGGAUCCAGCCUCCUGAGUCACAACUUCUGCCCCACAGUCUGCUCAGUCAUUAGAUCUGGGAAGUAUUUCAUACCAGGGAGAAAAGGCUAGGGAAGGGGACUGAGGGCAGUCAGGUGGCUGAGGGCUUGAACAUUUAAAUUUGGGCUAUAAAGUAAAUGUGACCUCCUUGUCAGAGUUGUGGGCAGUAGCUCAGAGUUGUUAUAGAGAUGGAUAUGGAUUGAUUGAUUGAUUUGUGUGCGUGUGUGUAUACACACACACACACACACACAUACAUACAUACAUAUCAGCGUGUCCCAGGAUGUGAGAAUUUUUUUUCUCUUUAAAAGAGAGGUUACCAUUUAAAAGUCUUCCACAAACAUAAUAAUGGUUGCGUCUGGCAAAAGAAACAGUGACUAAAGGACAGAGGUAUUUUUCACACUAUGUUCUGUUGUGCCUUUCUAAUUUCGUUCCUUCUGAAGGUAUUGCCAAUAUCUGAUGGUAAAGAAACCAAGUCAUCUUGCAGCAGGCUUCAUUCCGGAGAGUGCUCAAAUGCUCCGUUCUGAAAGGAGUGGCGUGGUCUCUUCCGGUUACACAGAGCCAGGAAGCGCCAGAUAUGCAGGGAGGACAUUGUUCCUGGGAGAAGGUGACCACAAAAUCUCUAGUGGACACGACCCUACAUCUCCAAGAUUUUCUCUUCUGAUGUAAGAAGACCGUAGUGGGCAUUACAGGGCUGAAAUGGCACUUUCACAAAGCUGUUGGACCCAGGGCCCGCCAGCCUCCCCCUCCACCAUCUCUAGUUCCAGCUCUGUCCUCACCCUUCAUGGUCCAAGGCCGCUGCUCCAUUUCCCCGCAUUCUAGCCAGAAGACAAAGGCAAAGAAAGGCAUAGCACUUUCCUUUAAGGAAAGUUCCCAAAAGUUGAGGGACGUUUCUGUUUCCAUCCCUUCAGCCAGAACUAACCAAACCUGGCUCCAAGGGAAGCUAGCAAAUGCCACUUGGGUAGCCCUGUGCCUCGCUAAAAGUAGGGGCUUCUGUUAGCAAAGAAAACAGGACGAACAGGAAGUGGGAAACAAUCAUGUCUCUGCCUCUGGUGUAUCAGGACUUUUGAGGUUUCUUUUUCAUUCAUUGUUGUUUUGAUUGACGAAGGUCUGACUAUCCCCCUGAACCCCUCAGAAAAAACAGGCUGAGACCCUGACCCCUUCAUUCCCACUUUUCUUUUCCCCUUCUGGCAAAUUUUAUGCCUGAGGGUUUUUGUUUUGGCUUGGUGGUUGGUUUCUCGUUUUUGUGUUUUUGGCUUGGUUUUUUGUUUGUUUUUUAAUAAACUGACAUUUAAAUUACA